AACCAUCACAUUUGAUUUUACAUAAAAAAAAGUACAAGUCUUGACAAUUUUGACCAAUUAUUGACUUUGGUCAACAUUUGAAUUUUUGGUCAACUUUGACCAAAGUCAACCCAAAAUUCCUAAACCCUAAAAGUUACCCAUAACCACCAAUUCAAUGUCCAUUUACAAGAGAAAUACAAAGAUAAUUGAAGUUUGACCAAUUGUUGACUUUGGUCAACAAUUGACUUUUUGGUCAACUUUGACAAAAGUCAACUCAACCUUUUUUCAUCCUAAAAUUCUAAACCUCUCA
rnacentral:lncRNA from 1 species